UACGGAGGGGGCUAGCGUUGUUCGGAUUUACUGGGCGUAAAGCGCACGUAGGCGGGUUGUUAAGUCAGGGGUGAAAUCCUGGAGCUCAACUCCAGAACUGCCUUUGAUACUGGCAACCUAGAGGCUGGAAGAGGUUAGUGGAAUUCCCAGUGUAGAGGUGAAAUUCGUAGAUGAUUAGGGAAGAACACCAGAUGGCGAAGGCGGCUAACUGGUCCAGAUCUGACGCUGAGGUGGCGAAAAGCGUGGGGAGCAAACAGG
rnacentral:rRNA from 1 species